GCCUGGGUGGCUCAGUGGGUUAAGCGUCUGACUUCAGCUCAGGUCACAAUCUUACAGUUCGUGGAUUCGAGCCCCACAUGGGGCU
rnacentral:tRNA from 1 species